GACAGCCAUAUCACGUUGAAACACCAGAUCUCAUUUGAUCAUCGAAGUUAAGCAACGUCGAACCUGGUCUGUAUCUAGAUGGGAAACCACUGAUGAAUACCCAGUGCUAUA